GCCAGGUGCGGUGGAGCAUGCCUGUAAUCCCAGCAGCUCGGGAGGCUGAGGCAGGAGGAUGGCGAGUUCAAAGCCAGCCUCAGCCACUU
rnacentral:sRNA from 1 species